rnacentral:lncRNA from 1 species
AAUAAACCAUUUCCCAAUCGUCUCUUUCUAUCUCUAUCUCCCUCUCUCUCCUUACCUCUCCUCAUCCUCUCCAGCGUACAAUUAAGUCCCCUCCUCUACCUCUCUUUAAUUUUUCUUUAUCUUCCCAUUCUCUCUCUCAAUCUCCCUAUCUUGCCCAAACCACCAUUCGGAGAGGUUGAUAGACCAUUAGCCAUUAAGGGCAUUGCUGAGGAUGUCAAUGUAGGUGAAUCUAGGUACCAUGGAUCAAGGCAGGCUCGAGGAUUUGUUGAUGAGGAGUCCCACGAAGAGGGCUCAGAGUACGAAUUGAAUAGGUCCGAUUAGCCUUGAGAGUUCCUUCUUUCCACCCUCUGGUAUGAUUGUUUUGUAUGUAAAUUGGGGAGACUGUAUUUUUUAAGUAUGGGGCCGGGGGACUUCCUCUGAUAAUUAGUAGUAAUAUGAACUUCUAAUUUUAUUUAUUAGCUUCUUAUUUUUUAUUUGCUUAGUUAGUAGAAUUAGUAGUAUAGUAUAUUUGUAUUAGUUUUAGUAGAUGAAUUUGAAAAAAAUCAAAUAAAUUCAAAAUUCAAAAAAUCUAGAAAACCUUUGGACUUUUCCCGACGAUCGAUCUUUUGGACAACUUUAUUGAGGGAUUAAUGUUCAAUGAAAAAUUCAAAAAUAUUUUCUUUUUUUAGUUAGUCGUAGGUAGAUAAUACUCCCUUGGUUUUUCUUUAAGAUCGGUUUUUUUUUCAAGAGAUGUAACUUGAGCCAACUGAGGAAAAAAACUUAGUGUUCCUAUAUGCCUUUUGACAUGUUUGAUGCUAGCAUAGUUAGGACAUAGCAUGCAAUUUACCUUCAUGGCAUGUUUUGAGAUAAAAUUGAUGUCGUGAAUAAAUUGAAUAGCCUAUUUGUGAUGCCUUCUCUAUGUUUCUUGACUCGUUGUUCAUGUAGUGCUUUAUUGCUUAAUAUGUCUUGACUUUGUGAUUACUUGCUUUAACUUGAGAGUUGAAAUGGAAUCGCCUCGACGGCAGUCAUGUGCAAUGUGUGAUGUGGGCUCUUGAUUAUAUUUUGUGCUAUCCUAUGUUAGUCUAGAACUUUUUUCGUGUGUUAGUCGAAGCAAAAUAAUUAUGUUUUGUGAGUCUAGGAUAUAACAUAGGUAUCUAUUUGAUUGUUCAUGGAGCUAUUACGCCACCAUAUAUAAAAUUAUCCUUUAUUAGGCCAUUUGAGCAUAUAAACUUUUUCUUUGGCACCCAUAUUACAAGAUGGUUUCCAUUUUUUCUUAAUUGAAUCUUGUUGAACCAUGGCAUUCGAAAGCAUUUAAGUCGCUAGAAGAGCAAGGUCAGAGUAUCUUUUAAGUGGAUCCAUAGAAAGGCCAAAAUUUGCACGUAUGUUUUGAAAGAUCAUUAGACGGGAACACUAAAUUUAUGGAGAGUGUUGGAAAAAAAGUAGAAAAUGAAAAUACAAAAAGAGAAGAAAAAUGAAAAAUAGAAAAUACAGCUCUAAUUCGCCUUAAUUCUGGCUAGUGAAUGUAUAGAUGUGCUUAAAGAAAAAAGGGCCAAAUUGUGUAUGAUUUCAUGGAAUAAAUUUGGUAUGAAGAAUGGAUACUUGAAAGUUAAGUGUAGUGGAUUAAAGUUCAUAGGAGGGUUAGUCCCUAUACCCAAAAUAUAUCCUACCUAUCCCUUAGCCAAUAUUACAACCCGUAAUGACCUAGUUGAUCCUAGGUUUCGCGAGCUUAAAUUAAUAGAGACAUACACUACGGGCAAGCCUAUGGUACGACCUUGGGAUGCACAUGAAAUUCUUUGUGAGAGUGAGUGAUUUCUUUUAUUCAUGAUAUCCUUGAAUUCACAUUUGAAACUCUUGAUUUGAGUGUGUACAACAUAUUCUCUUGUUCUUUGGCGAGGGAACAUGAUUAUUAACUGUUUGUGUAGCUUGGCAAGCCAUCCCUCAUGUGUUGUUGAAGUCAGCCCCUAUUUGGCAAGCCAUCCCUUACGGAUUCUCGAAGCUAUCUUGGCAAGCCAUCCCAACUAGGUUGUGAAGCCAUCCUUUUUAGGGAACUUUCGUAUCUAUAAUUUAGUUUGUUUUCUUUGGAGUCUCUUACUCUAUUUGGAAAUUAUUUGCCAACUGGAAUGGAUAGAUGACAUUAUUAAAUUUCUCUUGCUGGGUGAAUGCAUAAGUUAAGAGUGCUUAUUGGAGAUGAGUCGGUCUUUGAGGUUGGGUGGUUAUGGGAAUGUUGUUUGAAUUUGAAUAUACUUCAGCAUGUGAAAGUUGGGAUGUACUUGAAUGCAUAUGCAAUGGCUUAAUUGUUGGUAUCAACCAUGAUCAUAGGUAUAAUACAUUGAAUUUCUAAAUGUUCCUCCAUUGUAUGAUAUCUUGUGUGGCAUUGUUGGGUUAGUAAAGUGUUAGCUUGCUCGAGGACAAGCAAGAGCUUAAGUCUGAGGUGGCAAUGUUUGGUUAAAAAUUUCAUAUUUUUUGCAUGUAAUUUACCCUGCAUUAUGCCUCGAUCUAGUUCACUAUGGAAUGAAUAUUUAUGAAUUGAGCAUAAUAAUGGUGCUUAUAUGUGUAGGAGGCAAUUGGAAGUGAUUUAAAAAUAUUGUGAGCAAAUUAAAGCCAAAACGGAUGAAAAUUGAGGGAGUAUGACUUUGGUAUCAAGUUGGAGUCUUGCCACUUUCAAAAUGUAGGGAAGCAGAGCACAAAAGUGGGAAAUUUUGGGCGCCCAUCAUAGGGCCAGGCGCCUCCCACGUCGCUAUUGGUAGCAUAGUAGAAAGUUGGCGCACAACUUGGCUCCAGACACCUCUCAUGAUGCCUUAGAGGUAAUGUUUUGCAGUAGUAGUCUUAGUGAAAAAAACCAUCAUUUUUUAUUAUCUUGGACAAUUAAUUAUUUUUAGUUAGCUUAGGGAAGUAAACAUACCCAAUACAAUAUUUUGUCUUAUCAGUUACUGUCACGAUCCAAAAUCCCACCUCAGUUCGUGAUGGCGCCUAGCCGUACUUGCUAAGCAACAUAACUCGCAACUAAUAGAAUAUAAUCCAAUUUUCUUUAUUUAACAUAGUUAGAUAAUAAAUAAAAGCAAGAAUAAUCUCAAACAGUAAAAUAUCUCAUACAAGUAAAACAUGGUCUAAACACGUCCAAAACAAUACUACCCCCAAGAACUAAGUGACACGAGUACACGAGCAACUACAUAAUAAGUACAAGUCUGAAUACUUGAACUGUCUGUGAGAAAGAAAAUAAACAGGAGAUAAAUAAGGACAAGGACUCCAUCUGCUGCGGAUCGAAGCAGUGUAGUAGCUCACCAUGAAAGCCCUAAUAACACGCUCCUACUCAGCUCAAAAGGUAUCAUAAUGCCACUCUCAAAACUUGUACAAAUAUGUACAAAAACUUACUAUAAGUAUACCACACUCGGUGCCAGUAAGUAUCAAGUCAAACCUCGAGGAAGUAGUGGCGAGAUUAGAUGCAUCCGAAUACUUACAACACAAAAACAAUACAAGCCUGAAAUUGGAACAGUAUAUAUCCUCAUGAUCAAUAGGAAUAAAGAUAUAAAAAUAUUCGAAAGACCUAAAGCAUGCUUUUUCAAUUUACAGAUAAUCAUAAUGUUGCCCAACUAUGGCAUGUAAAACUGGCAUGCUUCAAUCAACAGAGUCGAGGCUCCCAACUAGUAUGUAUGCAUGGCGUGCAAUAGUUAACAUUUAAAUGAAUGCUUCUAAAUGAAUCCAUAAUAUGAAUGAGCUCAAACCAUUAUAAGAUCCAUGCACCCCGAUACAAGAUCCAUGUAUCCCGAUACACAAUCCAUGUAUCACAACAACCCAAUACAAAUUCAUGUCGACCCAGUACAAAAUUCAUGUACCGACCACACUUACAUGGCCUAAAGUAACAUGGGCAAUCACCUAUCUCCAGAGGGACGAUACCAAUCCAAGCACAAAGAGAGGCAUAUAGAAAACCCUCAUAAAUAGAGUUAUAAUUUUUAAUCUAUCGCUAACAAAUAGUAGCUUGUAUCAGGAGUGAUGGUACGUCUUUAAUGCUAGACUCUCGAACUCCAUGACUGCUCUUUUCCAAAUAUCUACAUGCAAGGUGGAGAAAUAUAGUAUGAGUACAACUGACCCCAUAUACUCAGUAAGUAUCUUCACUAACGUCGGUGAAGUAGUGACGAGGUGUUUAAGUCAAAAGAUACUCACUAAUAUAACCUAUUUAGUUAAAUUUGCAAUAGAAACAACACUAGAAAUAACAAAGUAGAUUACAAAAACAAUUACGAAAAGUAGUAAAUGAUUAACUAAAAGAGGUAACAGUCAGUUUUCUCAAUAUCACAACCAAUCCUUUUCUAACAUCUCAAUUCAUAAGUUUAAAGCAAUAACCACUAGAACAACAUAGUAAACCCACGAAUCUUCAUAAUAUGAGGAAUAUGCUCAAUAUAUCAAUUAAAUGGCACGACAACACUCUUCGUGCAUUUAUCUCAUCCUCACAAAAUAUAUGCAUGCAUAUCAAAUUAAUUGGAAUGGAAACACCGUUUGUGGAUUUAUCUCAUCCUCGCCAAGAAUAUGUAUAAUAGUACCAACCAGAUAGAAGGAAUACCAACAACAGUAACAACGAAGUAGAAGGUACACAGAUAACAAUAACAAAUAAGGCAUAAGUGUAUGGAUAACGGUAACCGACAAGGUAGGAUGAACAUAAGUAACGAUGGAAAAUAAGAUAGGAUAACAUAGAUUUCAAUAACAAACAAGGUACAAGUUUAAAUAAAACAACAAUAAAUGAGCGAAGACAUGGAUGUAAAUAUAACAAAUAAGAAGGAAGCAUGAAUGUAACAAAAUAAUAGAUAGAAGGCAUGGAUAGAACAAUAACAAAUAAGGUUAAAUGCAAAGACAUGAUAACAAUAAGCAAUACAAAAAGAAUAGGUGCAACAAUAACAACUCAAGAUAAAGGUAUGAAGGUAUACGCUAUGGAUAAAUAAUAAAAUAUAAUGCAUGUCUCUCAUCUUCGGCUGCAAGGAAUAACCUUCAUGCCAUCAAAUAUCAUCCUCACAUUAUAAUAUAAAAACAAUAGCAUGGUGUUACUCUUCGUGUUUUACUCUCUUCCUCAUAUGAGAAUGUAAAAACAAUGGUCUACAUCACCCUUCAUGUGUUUACUCGCUUCCUCACAUGACAAUAUAAAACAAAUGACAUGACAUCUCCCUUCGUUCUUUAUACUCUUCCUUACCAAGCACAUAUACAUCAAAACAAGUAAGUUAGGAAGCAUAGAUAACAUCAAGAAGAGAGGUUAAGCAAAAUAUACCAUAUGAACGACACUCACGUCUUUUGCACCAGUAAAAAAAUCAAUAAACUUCAAGAACCCCGUGUUUCAAGUACCUCAAUAAAGCUCAAGCAUGAUAUUCAAUAUAAGUAUGGAACUCAAGUAUCUCAAGAAUAACAGACAUAGAUAUGUAUUAGUAAUUUUGGUAUAGUUAUGAACGAAUUUAGCACAUCAAUAUUUUCACAAAGAGUCUAUCAAAUUCAAUCAAGUUGUAGUAAGCUAAAGCAUGGUCUUUGACAUUACAAUUGUACUCAUACUAUUAUAAAAGUCAAGUAAAACAUUAGGCAAGAAAAUCACGAAGUCCAACAAGGCACUAAGAAUCAUAUAAUCUACCCCAAAUAUGAAUAACCCUGACACAUGCAUAUACACCCAUCACCUUGCAUAUACAUUAUCCACGCAUAUAGCAAACAUUAUCAUUUAAUUAGGAAAACAUCUCUCAACAAAGCUAGGCAAGAUACUUACCUCUUUCUGGAACACAAUAAACUAUCCAAGAUGACUUUUUUUUAAAGCAAGUCUCCAAACCAAUCAAAUCUACUCAAAUAUCGUUCAAAUAAUUCAAAACAAGCUUUAGAAACUACCCUCGAAUGAAAAAGGUUAAAUCUUUAACAUAAUUGGAAAAGUCAAUAUGGGUCCACGUGAUUGAAAUAUGAGAUUAAGACCAAAUCCUGAUUACAUAUUCACCCUAAGCACAUGUAUGUGAUUUGUUUCGAAAUUCAACCUCAAUUCGGGGUCUAAAUCUCAAUUUUACAAGCUUUCUAAAUUCUACCCAAACUCUCCAAUUUCUACUUUAAAAUUCAUAGAUUUGAUGAUGAAAUUCAUGAAAACGAUUUCUACAAACAAUUCGGUCAACCAUCAAUCAUAGAUAAUUCAGAUUAACAGGUGUAAUUACUGUCAUGACCCAAACUGAAGGGCCAUGACUAGCACCCGACCACACUUGCCGAGCACCAAUGCACAUUUCAUCUAACCUUCAUUAUUAUCUUUUAGGGCUGACGAGAUCAAUAUAAAUGGUAGACCUAGAUCAUAGACAACCAGCAAUAAAAUAUGACGGCAUGAACAUACAUAGCAGGGGAUGACCAGACAAUCAAGAAACUACAUAUAAGGUAUGAGCUACCACGCUACUAUGAAAGACUAUACAACAAAAACUAGCCGACAAGGCAUACCAAACUAUACAUGAGCCGACACCUGUCUAUGAGCCUCUAAAAGAACAUAAGUGUUGCAACAUAGCCGGAACAGGGCCCCGACAUACCCAUAAUGUCUAUAACAAAAAUUGCAUACCAAGACCAAGGCAAGUCCGGAGAANNNNNNNNNNNNNNNAACUCGUUUGACUUUAAGACUUAUGAUACGGAUAUUAUAUGAUUAAAAUACCUUAAUAAAUGACCUCUUGAUUGUAUUAAGCACUAUUAGAUUACCUGAAAUUACGAGUUACAACAUCCUUGAUUCGUUUAACUUCUAAUACUGGUUAAUCACCCUUAUACACUCUUGUAUCACUUAAGACCAAUAGGAUUGACUUCUUAUCAUCUCAAAGAUAAUUCCUUCUUGGAUUUAUGUUAACUAAUAUAUGACAUGAACUAACACAUGUGGAUAUGGGUUGUAACAAUUACGAACCCAAAAGGAUUAAUAAUCCGACCACAAACCCCGAAUAUCCAUCUCAUUUAAUUAAAAUUCAACCACAAUAGCUUUCUUCUUAUUAAUUUAGUUGUUUACUUGUUUAAAUUUCACAAUAGUAGUCCUAGUAGAAAAAACCAUCACUUUUAAUUAUAUUGAAUAGUUAAAUAAUUUUAGUUAACUUAGUUAAUAAUUAUUCCGAGUCUCUAUGGGUUCGACAUAGGACUUUCAAGUCACUUUAUUACUUGGCGGCCACGUAUACUUGCGUGUACUACGGUAACCAACAAAUAUUUGGUGUCGUUGUCAGGGACUUAGCAAUUGAUAGUUUAAUUGAGUUAAUUUUAUAAGUUUCCUGUUCAUAUUUUGACUUGUUUUAUUUACACGAUCUGUCUCACGUACUUGUGAAAUAAAUGUCAGAGAAGAAGGAUGAGGGUAAAUAUAAACUUGAACCCUUUGAGAAUAAACAUGAGACACUCUUCUACCUAAAUAAAAAAAGCAACAAAAGAAGCAAAAGAAGCUAAAGCACAACAAGAGCGGCAACAUAGGUUAAGGAAACCAAAAAUCAAUAAGCAAUUGUGGAACUUUCAAAAUAUGAAAGGAUGACAGACAAUCAAGAACUACCAGGGAUCGCAGCUACAAUGCGUAGCCUUGGAAAUGUGACACAAGCCAUUAUCAAGCCAACCAUCACCGGCCAUUUUGAGCUAAAAUAAUACAUGGUGCAACUCCUACAAUACCAAGGUCAAUAUGUAUAGUUGCCACAUAAGGAUCCACAAAGGCAGAUUCAGAAUAUUUUGGAGAUCACAUAUACCUACAAAGUUUCAAAUUUCUCUUUGAAUUACGUCAGACUGACAUUAUUUCCCUUUUCACUAUUUAGGAAAGCAAAGAAAUGGUUACAAAAGGAGCCUGCAUAUUCAAUCAGAACCUAGGAUAAUCUAGCACAAAAAUUCUUGAAUAAUUUAUUCCUCUGUCGAAAAACAAAAUCUCUAAGGAGCCACAUUUGUGGAUUCCAACAAAAGGAAGGCAAAACUCAUCAACAAACUUCAGAGCGAUUUAAGAAGCUAUUCAGAGACUGCCCACACUACGGUCAAACAGAUGAAGUUUUGGGUCACACUUUUUGUGUAAAGUUUAGAUGAAGCCUCCAAGAUGUACGUAGACUUCGCUUGCGGAGGUAUGUGUAUGGAGAAGCCAUAUGAUAAAAUCCAAGCCUACCUGAACAACUUUACUGUAAAUGAUCAAAACUAGCAAAGAGAAGGAGACCCAAGUAGAGCAAUCAGGCCUAACACAGGUGGUAUGAUUGAAAUAGAUGCCCUCACAUAGUUGAGGGAUAAUAUAGCCAAUCAAGCUAGAAAGCUCCCUUAAGAACAAUUGCAACCGGUGUGCAUGUGCAAUAAGUGACAAUUUAUUAUGAGUUUUGUGGGGAAGCCCACACAGGUGAACAAUGUACUACAAACCCUGAAUCCAUCUAUUAUGUGGGGCAAUAAAGUAAAAUCCCGAUGAAUUAGAACACUCAGUCCGGUAACACAUACAAUUUGAAUUGGAGGAACCAUCCUAAAUUCUCAUAAGUUGGAAACUAGAGCAACAACAGGACUCAAGGUAAUUAAAAUCAUCCACCGAAACUACCAUAAAACAUAGGAUAAAAAAGCUCUUGCUCGAUAACUAGAAGAUAAUGGAUGAUAAUCAAAAGUUGCGUAAAAGGUUUGAAAAUCUAGAAGGCGAUUUAGGCAUAUGGUAAAUAGUUAAACCACUAGACCUGCAGGAGCUCUACCAAGCGGUAUAGAGAAGAAUCCUCAAGUCAAUGUAGUUACAUUGACAAAUGGGAGAGAGUUGGUAGAAGUGCCUAAAAAAAGAAGGAUUCAUCUGGGCUCGAAGAGGAAAAAGUUCCAAAACCCGUGGAGGUGGCCAAGAAAAAUGUAGCCAAAUCUGAGUAUGUAGCAGAAAGGGUACCACAUCAUUUUCCUUAAAUGAUGAAAAAGAAGAAUUAUGACCACACAUUUCACAAAUUCCAAGAUAUGCUGAAGCAGAUACAUUUGAACAUUCCUUUGGUAGACAUGGUCCGUGAUGUGCCAAAAUAUGCUAAAUAAUAUCAAGGACAUAGUGGAAAAUAAAAUAAAGUUAACCGAGUUUGAGACCAUCACACUCACUGAGGAGCGUACUUCUAGGAUCCAACACAAGCUUCAACAAAAGCUUAAGGAUCCAGGUAACUUUACCAUCCAUGUGAGGAUUGGUGAGGUUGAUAUCGGUAGAGUUCUAUAUGAUUUGGGUGUAAGUACAAAUUUGAUGUCGUUAUCAGCAUUCAAGAAAUUAUACUUAAGAGCCCCGAGACCUACCACGAUAAUACUACAAUUGGAUAAUAGAUCUUCUGCAUACCCUGAGGAGGUAAUUGAGGAUGUGUCGCUAUAGAUUAGAAAGUUUAUCAUCCCAACAAACUUUAUCAUCUUGGACUAUAAAGCUGUUGAACGAGUUCCUAUCAUCAUGGGGAGACUUCUUUUGGCCCCUAAAGAUGCUAUUCUCAAAGUUUAAGAAUGUAAGAUGAUCAUGAGAGUGGGCAAUGAAGAAGCCGUCUUCAAUGUGUAUCGAGCCAUUCAGUUGCCUCGUCAUUAAGAGGACCUUGCUUUGAUUUAUGUAUUGGAAGAAGACGAACCAACCCUAGGGAUACAUUCAUUUAAAGAUGAUGCACAAGAAUAGGCACUGAUGCAGCUCAAUCACAUGGAACUUCAAGAAGGGGUUGAGGAGAUGAUGCACAUUUUGUAUGCAUCAUGUGAAUACAUUAGAGAAGAACCUAUGCCUUCUAUUAAGAAGACCCCAAAAUUGGAACUUAAACCAUUUUCUUAUAAUCUUCAUUAUGCAUAUUUGGAAGUUCUAACUACUUUACCUGUGAUUGUUUCUUCUUAUUUUUCUAACUUGCAGGAAGAAAAGUUGUUGAGAGUGCUAAAAGAGCACAAAUAUGCCAUUGAAUAGACGACGUCUGAUAUAAAGGGCGUUAGCCCUGCAUUCUUCUUGC